AGUGAACGCUGGCGGUAGGCCUAACACAUGCAAGUCGAACGGCAGCACAGUAAGAGCUUGCUCUUACGGGUGGCGAGUGGCGGACGGGUGAGGAAUACAUCGGAAUCUACUUUUUCGUGGGGGAUAACGUAGGGAAACUUACGCUAAUACCGCAUACGACCUACGGGUGAAAGCAGGGGAUCUUCGGACCUUGCGCGAUUGAAUGAGCCGAUGUCGGAUUAGCUAGUUGGCGGGGUAAAGGCCCACCAAGGCGACGAUCCGUAGCUGGUCUGAGAGGAUGAUCAGACAAACUGGAACUGAGACACGGUCCAGACUCCUACGGGAGGCAGCAGUGGGGAAUAUUGGACAAUGGGCGCAAGCCUGAUCCAGCCAUACCGCGUGGGUGAAGAAGGCCUUCGGGUUGUAAAGCCCUUUUGUUGGGAAAGAAAAGCAGCAGGUUAAUACCCCGCUGUUCUGACGGUACCAAAAGAAUAAGCACCGGCUAACUUCGUG
rnacentral:rRNA from 1 species